UCGGGAAUAUUGCACAAUGGCCGCAAGGCUGAUGCAGCAACGCCGCGUGAGCGAGGAAGGCCUUCGGGUUGUAAAGCUCUGUUGUCCGUGAAGAAGUGACCGGUCAGGCAAUGGGCUGGUCUUGACGGUAGCGGACGAGGAAGCCCCGGCAAACUACGUGCCAGCAGCCGCGGUAAUACGUAGGGGGCGAGCGUUGUCCGGAUUUAUUGGGCGUAAAGGGCGUGUAGGCGGCCUGUCAAGUCAGGGGUGAAACCCCGGGGCUCAACCCCGGGCCGGCCUCUGAAACUGGGAGGCUUGAGUGCUCCAGAGGGCAGUGGAAUUCCCGGUGUAGCAGUGAAAUGCGUAGAGAUCGGGAGGAACACCAGUGGCGAAGGCGGCUGCCUGGGGAGUAACUGACGCUGAGGCGCGAAAGCUGGGGGAGCAAACG
rnacentral:rRNA from 1 species